UAAAAGGGUGUUUACCGCUUGAAUGGUACGUGUGCCGGUUUCCGGCGCGCGGGGUAUGGUAAUCAAGACAUACUCAACACAUAAUUUUUGUUUCCGAGAGGCAGUUGGAUACCACCUAUGUACCGGCGCCUCC